rnacentral:rRNA from 1 species
GACGAACGCUGGCGGCGUGCUUAACACAUGCAAGUCGAACGGAAAGGCCCUGCUUUUGUGGGGUGCUCGAGUGGCGAACGGGUGAGUAACACGUGAGUAACCUGCCCUUGACUUUGGGAUAACUUCAGGAAACUGGGGCUAAUACCGGAUAGGAGCUCCUGCUGCAUGGUGGGGGUUGGAAAGUUUCGGCGGUUGGGGAUGGACUCGCGGCUUAUCAGCUUGUUGGUGGGGUAGUGGCGUACCAAGGCUUUGACGGGUAGCCGGCCUGAGAGGGUGACCGGCCACAUUGGGACUGAGAUACGGACCAGACUCCUACGGGAGGCAGCAGUGGGGAAUAUUGCACAAUGGGCGGAAGCCUGAUGCAGCAACGCCGCGUGCGGGAUGACGGCCUUCGGGUUGUAAACCGCUUUCGACUGUGACGAAGCGUGAGUGACGGUAAUGGGUAAAGAAGCACCGGCUAACUACGUG